rnacentral:sRNA from 1 species
GUGUUUUAACUACUUAUUAUGAAAUGUAAAUAGAAAUUAAAGAAGGUAGGGCAUUCGUUGCACCGGAAAGUUUUAACUACUUAUUAUGAAAUGUAAAUAAAAUUAGCGUUCCAAAAAUAAGACCUGUCGCAACGUUUUAACUACUUAUUAUGAAAUGUAAAUCCCGUAUGGUAGAACUAAGAAUACAUGGGAUGAAUGUUUUAACUACUUAUUAUGAAAUGUAAAUAUACUAAAACUUCGCUCAUUUUCCGCAACUCCUUGUUUUAACUACUUAUUAUGAAAUGUAAAUUUA